UUUGCUAGAUAAUGAAACAAAAGGAUAGUAAGGUGUCAUCCAAACACAGCAGCAGAAGAUGUAGCACACGUGGUUGCUGAGUGCAAACACCUCACUUCCCAAAAACCUGAAUUCAAAUUUCAGAACGUCUUGAAUCCCCAAAGAACACACAAUUAUUCUUUGUAUAUAUCUCAUUCUAAAACGUCGGGUGUGACAAUUUGUUUGGAGANGCUGUUUGAGAGGAGUUUCAGAUACUAAGGUCAUAAUAUAUAAAAACUGCUACUGUUGCGCCAGCUAGUGCUGAACAAUCUCAUUCAAAUUCUGAGUAUGUGCCCUGCUGUUAUUUUCUUUGGCAGUUGACCNUUGAAAUCAGAUUUUUACUUGGUUUUUAAAGUCUAAGCUAAACAAGCAAUAAAAGGGAAUGGGGCGUGCUAGUAUUUCAAUUUGCUCUUGUUGCUCUACUUCUGUGCCUCUGUGCAUUAUUAAUAUUUGGAUGCAUGCAAUGCUAGCAUGGAACUUCGGUCUUCACAGUUACUGCAGUUUUUCCAGAAAACACUCACACUGAUAAAUGUAACAGACAACAUUCCAUUUGUUAAUGGGCAUAUGUGCAUAAGCAGUGUAGAAAAUAGGCUCGUGUUAGAAACUGGCUACAUCCUUCAUGACUAAAAGUGUGGUUAUAUGAAUGGACACUGUCAAUGUUCAUAGCUUAAACAUGGGUACCUGGUCAGAAUGCUUAGGAAACAUUAAAAUUGAGCUAAAUUGUCUCAAGUCCUUUUGUUCAUACAAUAAAGAUGGAAGGAAUGGGGGAGGCUGACAUUUUCUGGUUUUGUUUGUGAAAUUGUUGGAUACAACCUUGACAGUAUCCUUUAAUGUAAUGAGGUCAAUUGUAUUGUUAACCUUAUCUUUUUAUGUUCUGGAACUAGUAUAAUAGUGAAACAUUUUUUCAGUUAAGUUGAUGUUUACAACCUAUAAUCAGGUGAAUUCUGUAUGUGACCUGUUUAUAAGUUGUACCAAGUUAGUUUUUGUGAACUGUGGAAGAGUAAGCCAUGCAUGAGUGAUUUAACCAGCUUUGAAGGACAUAAGUUGUGCUUUUUAAGCACUGGAUCAAAGGAAAACCCACUAAGACAGGACUUCAGCAGCCAUUUGAGUAUGGACAAGUCAGCAUAAAUAAAGAAUGAGAAGGCAGCAGCAAGAGCUUCAACAACAGAGAAGUGGAGGCAUAAGAUACUAUGGUGAUAGUGAGCAACUUCCCAAAAGCUAGUUAAAGCUGCUUAUUGCAACUGAAAUGUCGAAGAAAGUAGCAGGAAGGAGCUUCGCCUUUUGGAACAUCAAUGAGCUAGUUGCCACAGGCACUAGGUCUAGCAUGUAGACCUGCAAGGAAGGGCAAUAAGCAUUAGGUGAAUGAGAACCCUACCUGCCUAACGAGGAAUGUCUUUCCCACCACCUUAAAUACGAAGGUUUCUGGCUGGGUAAGGUUUGUAGCUCAAAGUAAAAAAACCGAUGACACCAUUCCCACAAGUCAAUGUCACAGUUGAGACAUUACCCCUCAAGCUCAGUUUUAUUUUGGUGCCCCAUUGAACAAAUUCUAAGACAUAGGUAGUUACAUUCCACAGUGCCAUGGGUGUUUGUCAUAAGCUAGAUGUGCCUCUUCAUGUGUGUGUACAACUCAACGUUCUAAGGUAAAGUCAUCCUUCAAUAAGGGAAAAUCAUGUUGGCUUUUCAAAAAUGAUUUUUGAUGUAUGACUUUAAUAAGCUGUUAGUUCCUACCCUAGGGAAAACUAGGAACUUUCACAGUUGUCAGAAUAAUUUUCUCCCUUAAAGCUCUAUAGCAUGUAAGUUUACUCAUGUGGACCAGUAGGGACAGUCAAGUGUUCAAUCUCCCUAACCCAUCACACAAACAGGGUCUCAAUCCACCAGCCUUCUGUGUCUCCCAAGUGCUGGGGUUAAAGGGUGGUGCCUGUACGACAACUCAAGUUCCUUUGAAAAAAUCCAAAGAACAGUUGGGUUACUGUUCACAUAGUGUUGCUGGUUGUUCAUAAGGGCUAUUUCUGCUGCUUUGAAAGGGCUUAUUUGAAAAUUGCUUAAUUCAGGUUACUUAAUAGAACAUUUUCAGGGGACAAAUCGGCAAAAUUUGAACAUCCCUGCAUCAACAAAUUUGCUUGGAAUUUAAGUCAGGUCUAAAUUCAUGGAAACCAUAGUUAUCAAUAAGGUAACAGUGGUGGUUAACAGAUUGGAGAAAAUAUAUUUGAUUAGGAGGCAUUCACAGUCCAUUUCCUUUCUGAAAUAAAGUUAUCUUACUAAUAUGGUUUCACUCAUUUCUGCAAAAACACUUUACAAUGGUAGAGGUAAGCAUUAAACAAUAGGCUGACUGGUUAUGUUGGACCUGUGGGAUACUACUCCCAGUUUACAUGUCUGAAACGUGUUCACAGCCACAUCUAAACUAGGGGACACAUGGUAAGAAAAAGUUCAUCUAGUAGGGGACUACAGAGAAAUGGGUUCUGUUUUUAAGGCUUCUGUUAUGUCACAAUUCGAAACACUCCUGACAGUAGUAUCAGUAAUUGGCAUGGUAGCAAGCAUGCAGAUGUGCAAGGUGCUGUGAGGAUUGGUAGCCUGAGUAUUCAGUUUUAAACUUAACAUGUCUUCUGGUCUUUAUGACGGCAGAGGUCUGUAAUUGUCUUCAUUUGUAGCAUAAUAAAAUGUUGCAGAAAGAUGACCUUUUCAUUAAAAUAUUUUUAGAAAUG